rnacentral:rRNA from 1 species
GAUCUCAAAUCAGGUAGGACUACCCGCUGAACUUAAGCAUAUCAAUAAGCGGAGGAAAAGAAACUAACAAGGAUUCCCCUAGUAACUGCGAGUGAAGCGGGAAGAGCUCAAAUUUAAAAUCUGGCGUGCCUCUGGUCGUCCGAGUUGUAGUCUGGAGAAGCGUUUUCCGUGUUGGACCGUGUAUAAGUCUCUUGGAACAGGGCGUCAUAGAGGGUGAGAAUCCCGUCUUUGACACGGACUACCAAUGCUUUGUGAUGCGCUCUCAAAGAGUCGAGUUGUUUGGGAAUGCAGCUCAAAAUGGGUGGUAAAUUCCAUCUAAAGCUAAAUAUAGGCGAGAGACCGAUAGCGAACAAGUACCGUGAGGGAAAGAUGAAAAGCACUUUGGAAAGAGAGUUAAACAGUACGUGAAAUUGCUGAAAGGGAAACGCUUGAAGUCAGUCACGUCUGCCAGGACUCAGCCUUGCUCCUGCUUGGUGUACUUUCUGGUUUGAUGGGCCAACAUCAAUUUUGACCGUUGGAGAAAGGCUUUGGGAAUGUGGCACCUUCGGGUGUGUUAUAGCCCUUUGUUGUAUACAACGGUUGGGAUUGAGGACCGCAGCACGCCUUUAUGGCCGGGGUUCGCCCACGUACGUGCUUAGGAUGUUGGCAUAAUGGCUUUAAGCGACCCGUCUUGAAACACGGACCAAGGAGUCUAACAUGCCUGCGAGUGUUUGGGUGGAAAACCCAUGCGCGUAAUGAAAGUGAUAGCUGAGAUCCUCUCAUCAGGAGCACCAGCGCCUGGACUUGAUCUACGGAGACAGUUCUACGGUAGAGCAUGUAUGUUGGGACCCGAAAGAUGGUGAACUAUGCCUGAAUAGGGUGAAGCCAGAGGAAACUCUGGUGGAGGCUCGUAGCGAUUCUGACGUGCAAAUCGAUCGUCAAAUUUGGGUAUAGGGGCGAAAGACUAAUCGAACCAUCUAGUAGCU